CAAAGAUGCCAUAUUGCAUCACCGAGCCAUCAUCAUUCAACACAAGUCAGUAUGUGCAGGUGGCAGAUAUCACAGCACAUAGGAGAAGGAUAGCCCUGGAAGGACUGCCGCUUUUCUUCAGGGAAGAGUCUACAUGCCUUUUCAGGAAAUGCCUGAUGCUGUGAGGAGAGUUGGAUUUGUUGGUGAGAUGCCACAGGCAUCUAAUGUUGAAGAAGAAAUUAAGUCAUGGCUACGAAACGCGAGAGACCAGGGUGGCGGACGACGGCAGAGGUUACUACAGCAAAACAGAAACCC